rnacentral:rRNA from 1 species
UANACAUACNAGUCGNGCGGAUGAAGAGAGCUUGCUCUCUGAUUCAGCGGCGGACGGGCUGAGAUAAUGCCUAGGAAUCUGCCUGAUAGUNAGGGGACAACGAUUUCGAAAGGAACGCUAAUACCGCAUACGUCCUACGGGAGAAAGCAGGGGACCUUCGGGCCUUGCGCUAUCAGAUGAGCCUAGGUCGGAUUAGCUAGUUGGUGAGGUAACGGCUCACCAAGGCGACGAUCCGUAACUGGUCUGAGAGGAUGAUCAGUCACACUGGAACUGAGACACGGUCCAGACUCCUACGGGAGGCAGCAGUGGGGAAUAUUGGACAAUGGGCGAAAGCCUGAUCCAGCCAUGCCGCGUGUGUGAAGAAGGUCUUCGGAUUGUAAAGCACUUUAAGUUGGGAGGAAGGGCAUUAACCUAAUACGUUAGUGUUUUGACGUUACCGACAGAAUAAGCACCGGCUAACUUCGUGCCAGCAGCCGCGGUAAUACGAAGGGUGCAAGCGUUAAUCGGAAUUACUGGGCGUAAAGCGCGCGUAGGUGGUUUGUUAAGUUGAAUGUGAAAGCCCCGGGCUCAACCUGGGAACUGCAUCCAAAACUGGCAAGCUAGAGUAUGGCAGAGGGUGGUGGAAUUUCCUGUGUAGCGGUG